GUGAGUUGUGGGACCGGUAGGAGGAUUUCGUGGACUGGACUCCGCCUGCAGAAAAGAAAACAAUAAAGUGGAGAAUAAAAUAUCUGAUGGAACUUGAGGACUACUGAAACUACAAAGUCGGUACUAAAAUUAAGGGAAAUUAGCAUACAGUUUUGAGGAAAUUAUUUUACGAGUAUUUCAUGAGAAAAAUAGCUUUGGAAAAAAAUGUCGGUAAAAAAUUACAGUGAUACUUUUUUACAUGCGCCAUGCAACAGGAACUUUGGCCCAACCUAGAACACAAAGACCCUUGCCCAAGAUCAAGAUACUUUACUACGAGAUAGAAGCAGAAAAGGGGGCACUUUAUAGUAAGUAUCAUGUAUUAAGCAUGAGAGAGAGAAUUUGUAAUUUUCUGCAGUGGUUUAAUAGCUUGUGGUAAAAUCUAAAUGACUAGCAUUACCAGAUGAAUGAACUAAUUAAACAAUUUUGAUGUGGCUGUUUUGACUUUUCCGAAACUUCAAAAAAAAAUUCGAAUGCAUUUUAGGAUUUGAUUAUCAAACUUUCCAGCAAGUGCAUUAAAAAAAGUAAAAGAAAGAGUAUCUAAAAAAAAUAGAAAGAAAGAGUACUAAAGAAGUAAAAGAAAGAGGGGGAAAAAUGCCAAGCUCACCGCUAUCUUUGAAUCGACCUCCCAAUCUCACCCUCCAGCGUAGCGUGGAUCUUUCCUGCCAGCUCGGCAUGCCAUCUCACCAAUCUCCCACCGGCCGCAUCAAACUAGGAUCGCUGGUUCCCGGAUAGCUCGAUUUGCGGAUGUCUUGAUCAGGCUCCUCCCACUGCUAACUCUUCAGGAUUUUAACCUAGUGCCUGUGCCGACACCUCACCACCUUUUCUCACUU
rnacentral:lncRNA from 1 species